rnacentral:rRNA from 1 species
UAAGGAAUAUUGGUCAAUGGGCGCAAGCCUGAACCAGCCAUGCCGCGUGAAGGAAGACGGCCCUAUGGGUUGUAAACUUCUUUUGUCAGGGAAUAAACGAUAGUACGUGUACUGUCCUGAAGGUACCUGAAGAAUAAGCAUCGGCUAACUCCGUG